UAACGACUCUCGGCAACGGAUAUCUCGGCUCUCGCAUCGAUGAAGAACGUAGCGAACUGCGAUACUUGGUGUGAAUUGCAGAAUCCCGUGAACCAUCGAGUCUUUGAACGCAAGUUGCGCCCGAAACCUUUGGUCGAGGGCACGUUUGCCUGGGUGUCAC
rnacentral:rRNA from 6 species